GUCCUAGCUUCGGCUGGACAUAUACUAAAAUUGGAACGAUACAGAGAAGAUUAGCAUGGCCCCUGCGCAAGGAUGAGAAAUUGUCACGAGUACUUUAUUGUU